GGCCCCAUCGUCUAGCGGUACAGGACGCUGCCCUCUCAAGGCGGAAAUCGCGGGUUCGAAUCCCGCUGGGGUCACCA
rnacentral:tRNA from 1 species